rnacentral:rRNA from 1 species
GAUUAAGUUAUUAAGGGCGCACGGUGGAUGCCUUGGCACUAGAAGCCGAUGAAGGACGUUACUAACGACGAUAUGCUUUGGGGAGCUGUAAGUAAGCGUUGAUCCAGAGAUUUCCGAAUGGGGAAACCCAGCAUGAGUUAUGUCAUGUUAUCGAUAUGUGAAUACAUAGCAUAUCAGAAGGCAGACCCGGAGAACUGAAACAUCUUAGUACCCGGAGGAAGAGAAAGAAAAAUCGAUUCCCUGAGUAGCGGCGAGCGAAACGGGAAGAGCCCAAACCAACAAGCUUGCUUGUUGGGGUUGUAGGACACUCUAUACGGAGUUACAAAAGUAUAUAUUAGACGAAUCAUCUGGAAAGUUGAAUCAAAGAAGGUAAUAAUCCUGUAGUCGAAAAUAUAUACUCUCUUGAGUGGAUCCUGAGUACGACGGAGCACGUGAAAUUCCGUCGGAAUCUGGGAGGACCAUCUCCUAAGGCUAAAUACUCUCUAGUGACCGAUAGUGAACCAGUACCGUGAGGGAAAGGUGAAAAGUACCCCGGAAGGGGAGUGAAAGAGAACUUGAAACCGUGUGCUUACAAGUAGUCAGAGCCCGUUAAUGGGUGAUGGCGUGCCUUUUGUAGAAUGAACCGGCGAGUUACGAUUUGAUGCAAGGUUAAGCAGCUAAUGUGGAGCCGUAGCGAAAGCGAGUCUGAAUAGGGCGUUUAGUAUUUGGUCGUAGACCCGAAACCAGGUGAUCUACCCUUGGUCAGGUUGAAGUUCAGGUAACACUGAAUGGAGGACCGAACCGACUUACGUUGAAAAGUGAGCGGAUGAACUGAGGGUAGCGGAGAAAUUCCAAUCGAACUUGGAGAUAGCUGGUUCUCUCCGAAAUAGCUUUAGGGCUAGCCUCAAGUGAUGAUUAUUGGAGGUAGAGCACUGUUUGGACGAGGGGCCCUUCUCAGGUUACCGAAUUCAGACAAACUCCGAAUGCCAAUCAAUUUAACUUGGGAGUCAGAACAUGGGUGAUAAGGUCCGUGUUCGAAAGGGAAACAGCCCAGACCACCAGCUAAGGUCCCAAAAUAUAUGUUAAGUGGAAAAGGAUGUGGCGUUGCCCAGACAACUAGGAUGUUGGCUUAGAAGCAGCCAUCAUUUAAAGAGUGCGUAAUAGCUCACUAGUCGAGUGACACUGCGCCGAAAAUGUACCGGGGCUAAACAUAUUACCGAAGCUGUGGAUUGUCCGUAGGACAAUGGUAGGAGAGCGUUCUAAGGGCGUCGAAGCAUGAUCGCAAGGACAUGUGGAGCGCUUAGAAGUGAGAAUGCCGGUGUGAGUAGCGAAAGACGGGUGAGAAUCCCGUCCACCGAUUGACUAAGGUUUCCAGAGGAAGGCUCGUCCGCUCUGGGUUAGUCGGGUCCUAAGCUGAGGCCGACAGGCGUAGGCGAUGGAUAACAGGUUGAUAUUCCUGUACCACCUAGUAUCGUUUUAAUCGAUGGGGGGGGACGCAGUAGGAUAGGCGAAGCGUGCUAUUGGAUUGCACGUCCAAGCAGUAAGACUGAGUGUUAGGCAAAUCCGGCACUCAUAAGGUCAAGCUGUGAUGGGGAGAGGAAAUUGUUUCCUCGAGUCGUUGAUUUCACACUGCCAAGAAAAGCCUCUAGAUAGAUAACAGGUGCCCGUACCGCAAACCGACACAGGUAGUCAAGAUGAGAAUUCUAAGGUGAGCGAGCGAACUCUCGUUAAGGAACUCGGCAAAAUGACCCCGUAACUUCGGGAGAAGGGGUGCUCUUUAGGGUUAACGCCCAGAAGAGCCGCAGUGAAUAGGCCCAAGCGACUGUUUAUCAAAAACACAGGUCUCUGCUAAACCGUAAGGUGAUGUAUAGGGGCUGACGCCUGCCCGGUGCUGGAAGGUUAAGAGGAGUAGUUAGCUUCUGCGAAGCUACGAAUCGAAGCCCCAGUAAACGGCGGCCGUAACUAUAACGGUCCUAAGGUAGCGAAAUUCCUUGUCGGGUAAGUUCCGACCCGCACGAAAGGCGUAACGAUUUGGGCACUGUCUCAACGAGAGACUCGGUGAAAUCAUAGUACCUGUGAAGAUGCAGGUUACCCGCGACAGGACGGAAAGACCCCGUGGAGCUUUACUGUAGCCUGAUAUUGAAAUUCGGCACAGCUUGUACAGGAUAGGUAGGAGCCUUUGAAACGUGAGCGCUAGCUUACGUGGAGGCAUUGGUGGGAUACUACCCUAGCUGUGUUGGCUUUCUAACCCGCACCACUUAUCGUGGUGGGAGACAGUGUCAGGUGGGCAGUUUGACUGGGGCGGUCGCCUCCUAAAAGGUAACGGAGGCGCUCAAAGGUUCCCUCAGAAUGGUUGGAAAUCAUUCAUAGAGUGUAAAGGCAUAAGGGAGCUUGACUGCGAGACUUACAAGUCGAGCAGGGUCGAAAGACGGACUUAGUGAUCCGGUGGUUCCGCAUGGAAGGGCCAUCGCUCAACGGAUAAAAGCUACCCCGGGGAUAACAGGCUUAUCUCCCCCAAGAGUUCACAUCGACGGGGAGGUUUGGCACCUCGAUGUCGGCUCAUCGCAUCCUGGGGCUGUAGUCGGUCCCAAGGGUUGGGCUGUUCGCCCAUUAAAGCGGUACGCGAGCUGGGUUCAGAACGUCGUGAGACAGUUCGGUCCCUAUCCGUCGUGGGCGUAGGAAAUUUGAGAGGAGCUGUCCUUAGUACGAGAGGACCGGGAUGGACAUACCUCUGGUGUACCAGUUGUCGUGCCAACGGCAUAGCUGGGUAGCUAUGUAUGGACGGGAUAAGUGCUGAAAGCAUCUAAGCAUGAAGCCCCCCUCAAGAUGAGAUUUCCCAACUUCGGUUAUAAGAUCCCUCAAAGAUGAUGAGGUUAAUAGGUUCGAGGUGGAAGCGUGGUGACACGUGGAGCUGACGAAUACUAAUCGAUCGAAGACUUAAUCAA